CGAUAUUUCAGUAUAGCGAUGCUAAUAAUCCAGAGUCAGAGACUUGUAUAUCAGUAUAUGACGUACAGUAUAAGAUAACCAGUUGAGUAUAUAGUAAAUGCACGGUAAUAAUAUCCAACUUUUCCCAAUGUAAAAUAUUCAAGCAGGUAAUUCAAAGCACCAAGAUAAUCAAUGACAAUCAGUCAAUAUUUCAUCCUCUGUGGAUGAACAUGCGACUCCAUCGCUCGCCUAUAUAGCUAGAGCGUGUACGAAGGCGUACAUCACAUGGUGGUUUUGAAUUUACUGUCAGUGUAGCUAUAUCCUGUCGAAAUUUCAACAUAGGAUCAAAAUAAUAUUAUAGGUUGGGCACUUUUCGGCAAUUGAUAAAGGAAUUGAUAAUAGUUUUAGGCGGAAUGACUGCGCGAUUUAGCGAAAUUAUUAUACACGUUGUACAAACGCUUCCCCUUUCUCGCAAUAUAUUACGAACUUCCGAAUCGGACUGGAUUUCGAUUUGGAUUCACGGUGGAGGUAAUUGAAUCUGCAUGCUCCCAUUGAUUCGAUGCACAUGGAGGAAUUUAAACUACUGGCCUCAUUAGAAUUUCAUAAUUUGACCUCAAUCUGCCUUUGUGUUGUGUUCUCGUGGGAUUGCUUGAAAUCGACUGGUAUAAAGCCCGAAUCAAACAUAUGAGAGUGCAU